rnacentral:rRNA from 1 species
CUCGUAGGCGGUCCAUCACGUCGGGAGUGAAAAGCUGGGGCUUAACCCCAGUCCUGCUUCCGAUACGGGUGGACUAGAGGUAGGUAGGGGAGAACGGAAUUCCUGGUGUAGCGGUGAAAUGCGCAGAUAUCAGGAGGAACACCGGUGGCGAAGGCGGUUCUCUGGGCCUUACCUGACGCUGAGGAGCGAAAGCGUGGGGAGCAAACA